rnacentral:rRNA from 1 species
AGCGAACGCUGGCGGCAGGCCUAACACAUGCAAGUCGAACGAACCUUUCGGGGUUAGUGGCGGACGGGUGAGUAACACGUGGGAACGUGCCUUUAGGUUCGGAAUAACUCAGGGAAACUUGUGCUAAUACCGAAUGUGCCCUUCGGGGGAAAGAUUUAUCGCCUUUAGAGCGGCCCGCGUCUGAUUAGCUAGUUGGUUGAGGUAAUGGCUCACCAAGGCGACGAUCAGUAGCUGGUCUGAGAGGAUGAUCAGCCACAUUGGGACUGAGACACGGCCCAAACUCCUACGGGAAGCAGCAGUGGGGAAUCUUGCGCAAUGGGCGAAAGCCUGACGCAGCCAUGCCGCGUGAAUGAUGAAGGUCUUAGGAUUGUAAAAUUCUCUCACCGGGGACGAUAAUGACGGUACCCGGAGAAGAAGCCCCGGCUAACUUCGUG